CCUACGGGGUGCAGCAGUAGGGAAUCUUUCACAAUGGGCGAAAGCCUGAUGGAGCAACGCCGCGUGCAGGAUGAAGGCCUUCGGGUUGUAAACUGCUUUUAUAAGCGAGAAAUAUGAUGGUAACUUAUGAAUAAGGAUCGGCUAACUACGUGCCAGAAGCCGCGGUCAUACGUAGGAUCCGAGCAUUAUCCGGAGUGACUGGGUGUAAAGAGUUGCGUAGGUGGCAUAAUAAGUAGCUAGUGAAAUCUGGUGGCUCAACCAUUCAGACUAUUAGCUAAACUGUUAAGCUCGAGACCGUGAGGGGUAACUGGAAUUUCUAGUGUAGGAGUGAAAUCCGUAGAUAUUAGAAGGAACACCAAUAGCGUAGGCAGGUUGCUGGGACGGUUCUGACACUAAGGCACGAAAGCGUAGGGAGCAAACAGGAUUAGAUACCCUGGUAGUC
rnacentral:rRNA from 1 species